CGUUUGUGGUUGAAUUUUACCUUAAAUUGAAGCUUAUAUUACGUAUAAUAACAUACCUAACAAAAAUGUGUUUGGGAAAUUGGUAAUUUUGUAAUUAGAGUGAUAUUUUUAAUUUUUUAGGGGAUUCUUCAUUUGUAAAAAUAUUCUUAAAAAAUUAUCGUGUUACCAUGACAACUACUUUAAAUACUUCAUGUUCGGAAAAUACAAUGCUUUUGUCAGAAGGCGAGGGUUUCUGCAUGCAUGUAUUUUCUAGUUAUAUAUUUUGCAUCUGCAUGUUCAUAAUGUCUGAAAACAAAUGUCUAUCGUAUAAGUAUGUGUGUGUGUUUGUUGUUUUUUUGUUU